CACCUGUCAGAAAAUGUCUCACUAUCUACCCUUAUAAAAGUAGGGUUUUCUAUAUCAAGUUCUUGCAUCUCACUCAUAGGUUUCAUUUCAACCUCAAAGUGGAAAUCUUUAAUCCCGUCAAAUUAGAUCCGUUUAAAACGGUCUUGAAACCAUUGACAGGAAUGAUAUAUGGUUUUCUGUUCUUAGUUUAUCGAUCUUGUUCUACGGUCCGGAUAUCAAAUUGGAAAUCAUCAAUAAGUUUUCUAUCAAAUUAUUGGUUCAGUUCAGAUCCGUCUUCAAACCAUUCACAACAAAUUAUAUAUGGUUUAGAGACGGAUCUGAAUUGGAUAGAUAAUUAGAUAAGUACGAUAGAUUAUAUCGCUGGCUACGUUGGGCAUCUAUUUGUAAGACACGAACGAUGAGCCUGUUGUUGCUGCCAAUUUGCUAAUUCCUUGUGGCCCCAAACAAGCAUGAGAAGAUCAUGUUAUGGAACAUCCGUUGAUCAUCAAGGUAUAAUUUUAAAACAGCUGUGGUUAUAAGUUUGUAUCCACUUUCGCUAUUACAUGAAUACAUUGUUGUAUGAUGUUUUAUUUAGUGGUUAUACUCGUGAAUGAGUUUUAUACCCCUGAAUGCCACUUUAUGUUGUAGGUUUUCAUGUAUCGAUUGAGCUGAUAUAUAGAAUGUUAUUUUUGUUGUCAAAUACAGACAUGUAUAUCUGCUGUUACUGCAUGCAUUUGUUGAGAGGUAUUGUUGGCUUUCCUGUGUAGUAUGUGAUUUUUCAAUCAUAACAUUGCUUGGUUAACGACAGAUAGAGGAAAUUAUUGCACAUAAACAACCAGCUGAGGUUUUUUGCUCCGCACCGCGGAAGAUACGCAACAAAGGAUGUGGUAAGCAUAGACGAACAAUUGGACCCGGAGAGAAAGCAAUUAGGAAGAGUAAAAAACCAAGAAGGAAAUGCAAUUUUUGAAAUAAACGAGUUAGGGAUCAUGAUAAGAGGAAUUGCCCGCUUAAAAAGGGUCCGCCGGUUAAGGACGAUUCGUCUACCGAUGAAGAGGACGACGUAUAGGAAGAAGCCGAAACCGAAGAAUCUGGGUCCGAUGAUUUCGGAAGUGAAGAAUAGGUUACGUAAUGCGUAACAACAUACUGUUUUUUUAAGACAAUAAGGUGUUUUUCAGAUUUUUUAAAUAGCACUGUUGAUGUUAGUUUAGACUCGUUUUUAUCGUAAUUUAGUUUACAUGUUUUUUGGGGUGGUUGUAUAUGUGUUUGUUAUAACAAAUAUAACUGGAGUCUUUGGGGUGUUUAA